rnacentral:rRNA from 1 species
CACGAACGCUGGCGGCAUGCCUAACACAUGCAAGUCGAACGAGACCUUCGGGUCUAGUGGCGCACGGGUGCGUAACGCGUGGGAACCUGCCCUUAGGUUCGGAAUAACUCCCCGAAAGGGGUGCUAAUACCGGAUAAUGUCUUCGGACCAAAGAUUUAUCGCCUUUGGAUGGGCCCGCGUUGGAUUAGCUAGUUGGUAGGGUAAAAGCCUACCAAGGCGACGAUCCAUAGCUGGUCUGAGAGGAUGAUCAGCCACACUGGGACUGAGACACGGCCCAGACUCCUACGGGAGGCAGCAGUGGGGAAUAUUGGACGAUGGGCGAAAGCCUGAUCCAGCAAUGCCGCGUGAGUGAUGAAGGCCUUAGGGUUGUAAAGCUCUUUUACCCGGGAUGAUAAUGACAGUACCGGGAGAAUAAGCUCCGGCUAACUCCGUG